rnacentral:rRNA from 1 species
GAUGAACGCUGGCGGCGUGCCUAAUACAUGCAAGUCGAGCGAACAGACGAGGAGCUUGCUCCUCUGACGUUAGCGGCGGACGGGUGAGUAACACGUGGAUAACCUACCUAUAAGACUGGGAUAACUUCGGGAAACCGGAGCUAAUACCGGAUAAUAUAUUGAACCGCAUGGUUCAAUAGUGAAAGACGGUUUUGCUGUCACUUAUAGAUGGAUCCGCGCCGCAUUAGCUAGUUGGUAAGGUAACGGCUUACCAAGGCAACGAUGCGUAGCCGACCUGAGAGGGUGAUCGGCCACACUGGAACUGAGACACGUUCCAGACUCCUACGGGAGGCAGCAGUAGGGAAUCUUCCGCAAUGGGCGAAAGCCUGACGGAGCAACGCCGCGUGAGUGAUGAAGGUCUUCGGAUCGUAAAGCUCUGUUAUUAGGGAAGAACAAAUGUGUAAGUAACUAUGCACGUCUUGACGGUACCUAAUCAGAAAGCCACGGCUAACUACGUG